AUGGAUAUGAAUUUUGUUGGUAGGAAUAAUUUUUGUAAUAUCGCGUAUAGAGGUAAUUUUAAUUCUAGGCCGUUUCCUAGUAAUUCCUCUAAUAAUUAUGGUAAUUCCUACAACAAUUUUUAUGGAAAUUUUAAUAAGAUGCCCUCUGAAUUCUAUACUAGUGUUAAGGAGUUUAUGAAUUCGCAAAAGAAUUUCAAUGCUUUGCUUGAAGAAAAAUUGCUUAAGGUUGAUGAAUUGGCUAGGAACGUUGAUAGAAUUUCUCUUGAUGUUGAUUCUUUGAAACUUAGAUCUAUUGCACCUAAGCAUGAUAUCAAUGAGUCUCUCAAAGCCACGAGAAUUUCCAUUGAUGAGUGCAAAGAAAGAACCGCUAGGAUGCGUGCUAAGAAAGAUAGCUUUGUGAAAGCGUGUUCUUCUAGUAUCUAUGAAAAUAAAGACGAAGAUCUAAAAGUUAUUGAUGUGUAUCCUAUUAAAUCUUUGUUUUGCAAUAUUAAUAUUGAUAAUGAUGGGACUGAAGAUGAGCCACAUUUACCUAUAAGGCAUUCCAAAAAUUUGGAGUUUUUAGAUCUUGAUGCAAAAAUUGUUAAAAGUGGGAUUGAAGAGGUCAAAACUUUAAAUAGCAAUGAACCCACUAUUUUGGAUUUCAAGGAAUUUAAUUAUGAUAAUUGCUCUUUGAUAGAUUGUAUUUCCUUGUUGCAAUCCGUGCUAAAUUCUCCUCAUGCUUAUAGUCAAAAUAAAGCUUUUACUAAACAUAUCGUUGAUGCUUUGAUGCAAUCUUAUGAAGAAUAA
rnacentral:rRNA from 1 species